AGCAGCCGCGGUAAUUCCAGCUCCGAUAGCGUAUAUUAAAGUUGUUGCAGUUAAAACGCUCGUAGUUGAAUUUCAGGCUUGGCCGGAUGGUCCCUUUCGGCGAGUACUGUCCUGUGUCAAUCCUUCCUUCUGGUGAACCAGCAUGUCCUUCAUUGGAUGUGCUGGGGAGCCAGAACUAUUACCUUGAAAAAAUUAGAGUGUUUAAAGCAGGCGAUUGCUUGAAUAGAUUAGCAUGGAAUAAUAAAAUAGGACGUUGGUUCUAUUUUGUUGGUUUCUAGGACCAACGUAAUGAUUAAUAGGGAUAGUUGGGGCAUUAGUAUUCAAUUGUCAGAGGUGAAAUUCUUGGAUUUAUUGAAGACUAACUACUGCGAAAGCAUUUGCCAAGGAUGUUUCAUUAAUCAAGAACGAAAGUCAGGGAUCGAAGACGAUCAGAUACCGUCGUAGUCUUAACCAUAAACUAUGCCGACUAGGGAUCGGAUGAUGUUAAUUUUUAAUGACUCGUUAGGCGCCUUAACGGG
rnacentral:rRNA from 1 species